UACGAGGGGUGCGAGCGUUAUUCGGAAUCAUUAGGGCGUAAAGGGUGCGUAGACGGCUUAUUAAGUCAACUGUUUAAUUCUCCGGCCUAACUGGAGGUCAGCGGUAGAAACUGAUAGGCUUGAGGUUGGAAGAGAGGAGUGGAAUUCUCGGAGUAGCGGUAAAAUGCGUAGAUCUCGAGAGGAACACCAGUGGCGAAGGCGGCUCACUGGCCCAUAACUGACGCUGAGGCACGAAAGCGUGGGGAGCAAACAGG
rnacentral:rRNA from 1 species